AAGUAAAUUCCUCUCUAUCAUGUUUGGACGGUUAUAUUGAAAAAAAAAAAGAGAACUCCUCAUUCUUUAAGUCAUCGUUCCUCAAUCUGAAUUUUAGGGGUUUACGAUUUGAAGUCGUUUGCAAUCUGAAACCACUUGAAAGCGAUUAAUUUCAGCGUAAAUUCGUAGUCUCUGGUGAGGUAAGGCUUUGACAAACUUUUACUCUUCUUAUUCCUACCAUUUUGAUUGAAAAUAUGAUAUUUCCAAUUCAAAGCUGUUAAUUUUAUUAAUUGCUGCAGCUAUAACUUCACCGUCAAUCUAAAGGCACAAAGGAGGUGAGAGUUAGACUAUCUUUUGCUGGAACUCGUUUUUAAAUUCUCACAAUAUAAUCAAAUUCAUUAUAAUUUUCAAUUGAUAUGGCAUAUUUGAUUUUCUGUAUUGAGAAGCCAAGGUCUGCUUGUAACUUUGUAUCCAUAUGUAGUGAUAGACACCAGCUGUUUGUUGAAAUGUCAUAUGACUUGUGAGUUAUGAGAUACCAUUCACUUGAAGCCUUACAAAUUAUGAUUAUGUUGUGAAUAGGUUGCCAUUAGCUCUUAUAUAUUUUGAUUAUGUUGUCAAUUAGAGAACCUUCAGUGUUGGGAUUGGGAAUGAGGGUUGACAGCUUCAACUUUCAUUAGUGAGGAUUGGCAGCCAUAACUUUCACUUCACUGCUCAUGGUAAGAGAUUUUACUUUUUUGAAGACCAUGUAUUUUCUUUUUAUGUUUGUAGUAUCUCAUCGAAGAAGUUGCUUUUCGUCCAGAGAGACUAAAGAAGAUCUCCCCACAGGCUGAGAGGAACCUAUUUCUUCUUCUCUCAAUAGAUUCCUAAUUUUCAACGACACAAGUAAAUCCAUUUAUUUAUUGAUUUUCUUUUUGAAAUUAGAUACCAGUCUUCCAACUUGAUUCUAGUUCUAAGAAGAACUAGACACACUCUUUGCAAAUGACCAACUUUCACUCUUAUUGUUUCACUCUUAUGGGGUUGUCUUCAUUAUCAUCCACAAAUUUUUCCAUUGCCAAUCAUACGUUGUUAAUUUCAUCAUCAUCAUCAUCUCAUCUGUUAUUGGUCAUUCUGUUGCCAGCUUCAGGAGUUGAAGGUAGGGUCCUUCUUCAUUACUUAUCUCAUAUAAAAGUUCUUCAAGGCCUAGAAGAUGUACCGGAUAAGAGAUGUUCAUCAUGCAACGGGGGAUGCAUUAGACUUUCUCUUCCCUUGAGGUAAUGAAUUGAUGUUGUGGAUUGGUGUGCGUCAACUUUACAUAAUUAGCAUUGAUAAUUCUGAAGUUUAUUCAUGUUUCAAGGGAAGUGAGUACUAAUAGAGGAUGCACAAGAAGAUGUAUAAAGUAAACUACUCACAAAUAUGAAAGAAUGUUCAAUUGUCCAUCACUUCAGGAGCAUUAUAUUUGUACCUUAUUUGUAGUUUCUCAUUUUCAAUACUUUUAUACGGUUGAUGUUACUACUAAAGCAAUAGCUUGUAAGUUUUGUAAAAAAUUCAUUGUUUGUUUACUAUUUUUACUGAUAUGGAAGUAUUUUAAUAAGAAUUCA